AUUGAACGCUGGCGGCAUGCCUUACACAUGCAAGUCGAACGGCAGCACGGGUGCUUGCACCUGGUGGCGAGUGGCGAACGGGUGAGUAAUAUAUCGGAACGUACCUUAUUGUGGGGGAUAACGCAGCGAAAGCUGUGCUAAUACCGCAUAAUCCCUAAGGGGGAAAGCGGGGGACCGUAAGGCCUCGCGCAAUUAGAGCGGCCGAUACCUGAUUAGCUAGUUGGUGAGGUAAAGGCUCACCAAGGCAACGAUCAGUAGCUGGUCUGAGAGGACGAUCAGCCACACUGGGACUGAGACACGGCCCAGACUCCUACGGGAGGCAGCAGUGGGGAAUGUUGGACAAUGGGGGCAACCCUGAUCCAGCAAUGCCGCGUGAGUGAAGAAGGCCUUCGGGUUGUAAAGCUCUUUUGUCAGGGAAGAAACAGCAGCUCUAACACAGUUCGCGAAUGACGGUACCUGAAGAAUAAGCACCGGCUAACUACGUGCCAGCAGCCGCAGUAA
rnacentral:rRNA from 1 species